CGAAGGCCGCCCCUGGACAAGACUGACGCUCAGGUGCGAAGCGUGGGGAGCAAACAGGAUUAGAUACCUGGUAGUCACGCUGUAAACGAUGUCGAUUUGGAGGUUGUUCCCUUGAGGAGUGGCUUCCGGAGCUAACGCGUUAAAUCGACCGCUGGGGAGUACGGCCGCAAGGUUAAAACUCAAAUGAAUUGACGGGGGCCCGCACAAGCGGUGGAGCAUGUGGUUUAAUUCGAUGCAACGCGAAGAACCUUACCUACUCUUGACAUCCAGAGAAUUUAGCAGAGAUGCUUUAGUGCCUUCGGGAACUCUGAGACAGGUGCUGCAUGGCUGUCGUCAGCUCGUGUUGUGAAAUGUUGGGUUAAGUCCCGCAACGAGCGCAACCCUUAUCCUUUGUUGCCAGCACAUUAUGGUGGGAACUCAAAGGAGACUGCCGGUGAUAAACCGGAGGAAGGUGGGGAUGACGUCAAGUCAUCAUGGCCCUUACGAGUAGGGCUACACACGUGCUACAAUGGCGUAUACAAAGAGAAGCGACCUCGCGAGAGCAAGCGGAACUCAUAAAGUACGUCGUAGUCCGGAUUGGAGUCUGCAACUCGACUCCAUGAAGUCGGAAUCGCUAGUAAUCGUAGAUCAGAAUGCUACGGUGAAUACGUUCCCGGGCCUUGUACACACCGCCCGUCACACCAUGGGAGUGGGUUGCAAAAGAAGUAGGUAGCUUAACCUUCGGGAGGGCGCUUACCACUUUGUGAUUCAUGACUGGGGUGAAGUCGUAACAAGGUAACCA
rnacentral:rRNA from 1 species